rnacentral:rRNA from 1 species
UACGUAGGGCGCAAGCGUUGUCCGGAAUUAUUGGGCGUAAAGAGCGCGUAGGCGGUCCGAUAAGUCGGCUGUGAAAGUCAGGGGCUCAACCCUUGAAAGCCGGCCGAUACUGUCGGACUAGAGUCCGGAAGAGGCAAGUGGAAUUCCCGGUGUAGCGGUGAAAUGCGCAGAUAUCGGGAGGAACACCAAUGGCGAAGGCAGCUUGCUGGGACGGUACUGACGCUGAGGCGCGAAAGCGUGGGGAGCAAACAGG